rnacentral:rRNA from 1 species
UCAGCAGCCGCGGUAAUACGGAGGGGGCAAGCGUUGUUCGGAUUUACUGGGCGUAAAGGGUGUGUAGGCGGCCGCGCAAGUCUGGUGUGAAAUCUUCACCGCUCAACGGGAAGAGGGCACUGGAAACUGCGCGGCUCGAGUAUGGUAGAGGCAAGCGGAAUUCCUGGUGUAGCGGUGGAAUGUGUAGAGAUCAGGAAGAACACCGGUGGCGAAGGCGGCUUGCUGGGCCAUUACUGACGCUGAGACACGAAAGCGUGGGGAGCAAACGGGAUUAGAUACCCCGGUAGUCCACGCGGUAAACGGUGCGCACUAGGUGUGAGGGGUAUCGACCCCCCUUGUGCCGCAGCAAACGCAUUAAGUGCGCCGCCUGGGGAGUACGGCCGCAAGGUUGAAACUUAAAGGAAUUGGCGGGGGA